UACGAAGGGGGCUAGCGUUGCUCGGAAUCACUGGGCGUAAAGGGUGCGUAGGCGGGUCUUUAAGUCAGGGGUGAAAUCCUGAAGCUCAACUCCAGAACUGCCUUUGAUACUGAGGAUCUUGAGUUCGGGAGAGGUGAGUGGAACUGCGAGUGUAGAGGUGAAAUUCGUAGAUAUUCGCAAGAACACCAGUGGCGAAGGCGGCUCACUGGCCCGAUACUGACGCUCAGGUUCGAAAGCGUGGGGAGCAAACAGG
rnacentral:rRNA from 1 species